AGUGAACGCUGGCGGUAGGCCUAACACAUGCAAGUCGAACGGCAGCACAGGAGAGCUUGCUCUCUGGGUGGCGAGUGGCGGACGGGUGAGGAAUACAUCGGAAUCUACUUUUUCGUGGGGGAUAACGUAGGGAAACUUACGCUAAUACCGCAUACGACCUACGGGUGAAAGCAGGGGACCUUCGGGCCUUGCGCGAUUGAAUGAGCCGAUGUCGGAUUAGCUAGUUGGCGGGGUAAAGGCCCACAAAGGCGACGAUCCGUAGCUGGUCUGAGACGAUGAUCAGCCACACUGGAACUGAGACACGGUCCAGACGCCUACGGGAGGCAGCAGUGGGGAAUAUUGGACAAUGGGCGCAAGCCUGAUCCAGCCAUACCGCGUGGGUGAAGAAGGCCUUCGGGUUGUAAAGCCCUUUUGUUGGGAAAGAAAUCCAGCUGGCUAAUACCCGGUUGGGAUGACGGUACCCAAAGAAUAAGCACCGGCUAACUUCGUGCCAGCCGCCGCGGUAA
rnacentral:rRNA from 1 species